rnacentral:tRNA from 1 species
UUAAUUGAAACCAAAUAAGAGGUAAAUCACUGUUAAUGAUUUUAAUGAGAUAUUCUCCAAUUAAA